rnacentral:rRNA from 1 species
CACGUAGGGUGCGAGCGUUGUCCGGAAUUAUUGGGCGUAAAGAGCUCGUAGGCGGUGUGUCGCGUCGGCCGUGAAAACCUGCAGCUUAACUGUGGGCUUGCGGUCGAUACGGGCAUCACUGGAGUUCGGCAGGGGAGACUGGAAUUCCUGGUGUAGCGGUGAAAUGCGCAGAUAUCAGGAGGAACACCGGUGGCGAAGGCGGGCUCCUGGGACCGACACUGAUCGCUGAGGGCAGCGAAAGCC